rnacentral:rRNA from 1 species
CCUACGGUUGGCAGCAGUGGGGAAUCUUGCACAAUGGGGGAAACCCUUAUGCAGCGACGCCGCGUGAGUGAAGAAGUAAUUCGUUAUGUAACGCUCUAUCAGCAGGGAAGAACAGUACGUUACCUGAGUAAGAAUCCCCUGAUAACUACGUGCCAGCAUCCGCGGGAAUACGGAGGGGGAGAGCGUUCUCCGGACUUACGUGGUUGAACGGGCCCGUAGACGGCAGUGCAAGUCUGGAGUGAAAGGCGGGUGCGCAACCCCCGGACUGCUCUGGAAACUGUACGUCUGGAGUGCCGGAGAGGAAAGUGGAAUUCCUAGUGUAGCGGUGAAAUGCGUAGAGAUUAGGAGGAACAGCAGUGGCGAAGGCGGCCUGCUGGACGACAACUGACGGUGAGGCGCGAAAGCGUGGGGAGCAAACAGGAUUAGAUACCCGGGUAGUC